UACGUAUGGUGCAAGCGUUAUCCGGAUUUACUGGGUGUAAAGGGAGCGCAGGCGGCACGGCAAGCCUGAUCUGAAAGCCCGCGGCCCAACCGCGGGACUGCAUUGGGAACUACCGGGCUGGAGUGCCGGAGAGGUAGGCGGAAUUCCUAGUGUAGCGGUGAAAUGCGUAUAUAUUAGGAGGAACACCAGUGGCGAAGGCGGCCUACUGGACGGUGACUGACGCUGAGGCUCGAAAGCGUGGGGAGCAAACAGG
rnacentral:rRNA from 1 species